rnacentral:rRNA from 1 species
GACGAACGCUGGCGGCGUGGAUAAGACAUGCAAGUCGAACGGGACUUAAUCUGUAGCAAUACAGGUUAAGUUUAGUGGCGAACGGGUGCGUAACACGUGGGCAAUCUGCCGAGAAGUGGGGGAUAGCUCGCCGAAAGGCGAAUUAAUACCGCAUAUGAUCAGGGACGACAUCUUCCCAACAUCAAAGCCGGGGCAACCUGGCGCUUCUUGAGGAGCCCGCGGCCUAUCAGCUAGUUGGUGAGGUAACGGCUCACCAAGGCUAUGACGGGUAGCUGGUCUGAGAGGACGACCAGUCACACUGGAACUGAGACACGGUCCAGACACCUACGGGUGGCAGCAGUCGAGAAUUUUUCNCAAUGGGGAAACCCUGAAGGAGCGACGCCGCGUGGAGGAUGAAGACUUU